rnacentral:ribozyme from 14 species
CAUUCUUUCUUUCUUUCUUUCUUUCUUUCUUUCUUUCCCUUUCUCUCUUUCUCGUUCUCUUUGCAAU